ACUCCGAUGCAAAGACAACGUGGCAGGAAGCAGCUUUCAGUUUUGUUUCUGUGUGGGAGUGUGGGAGGGGAGAUAUUCCACCACAGACUGCUCAACAUGGCGGUACCCGUCCACAUGCUGUUCAACUACUGCAGAUGAUCCACAGCCUCCUUCAAGAAGUUACUCUUUCAGAGCAGUCCAGAAUCUGAUCGGUUGAGUCAAAACAGCACUAGAGUUAAACAAUGUCAAGGGAUUAAUAAAAGGAGGAUGAGGAAACAAAGUUGUACAAAGAGACAACAGACGGGUUCGUCCUCCCAUUCUAAACCUAAAAAGAAGCAAGCCAAGAGACAAAACUGCCCCAAAUCAUCCACAGGACAAAAAAAAAAGCCUCAAAAUAAAUCCCAACUUCCUGUUACAUGUGGCUUUAAAGAGGGGCUCCUGUAUUUGAAGAAAUAUUGUGACAAGCAGAAGUGCAUUUCCAGUGAGAGCCAGUGGUUCACACCCCCUGAGUUUGAGAGGUUUGGGAUGAAGGAGAAGCACAAAAAGUGGAAGACCAGCAUCCUUUGCAAAGGGAUUCCACUCCAGAAACUCAUAGAGGAUGGAUUUCUCUUAAAUAUAAGCUUUAUUAAAAGCAAGGUUCAGGAUGCAAAGCAGAAGAAAAAACGCCACGUGGGUUUGAAAAAACAGGUUGUAGAAUCACCUGAUAAGAUCGAAGACAAGCAAGAUGAAGAUGAAGAUGAAGAUGAAGAUGACGCUGUUGACAUGAACAUGUUUGAAGGUCCAGUCCUUCCUGUUACCUGUGGAUCUGAUUCUGGCGUUCUACACAAAUAUCGAUUUUCCAAAGGGUAUUGUGGGAGAUGCAUAAGAACAGAGAGCCACUGGCUGACGCCUGAGGAUUUCACCAAACUGAGCAAAACAGAUGGAACAUGGAAGAAAGACAUUGUGUCCCAUGGAAUACCUCUUGGGAAGCUUAUAACGAAAAGCAUUUUGCAACCGCAUACAGCCAACUGUGACUGUGAGAUCUGCGAAGAACCAUAUCAGAACCAACUAAAUGAUGACGUGUGUUUCAUCUGUGACUCUGAGGGAGAUCUCGUGUGUUGUGAUGAGUGUCCACGAGCUUUUCAUUCACACUGUCACCUACCAGCUGUACCUGAAGACUCACCUGGGAGCCAGUGGAGCUGCACGUUUUGUGUGAUGAAGAAGAGGGAAAGUUCGGGUCAAAAGACCCAACAGGAUGUUUUGAGCAGUCCAGUCUCUCGGUACACACUGACAAUAACACUGCCAGUACCUGCUGUUACACCUGCUACACGAGAGCAUGAGCGACCCCUGUGCCAAAGGUCCAGGAUUCAGUGAGAACAUCUGUGGCCCCAUGAUGCUGGGCAGAGUGAAGCUGAACUUGCAGAAUAAUGAUUAUCAAACAGUGCGAGAGUUUGUCUCUGAUAUUGAAUACGUUUUCCACCACUGCACCGCCAAAAGGGAUAAUGACUUCAGUAGAAUGACCUCUAGGCUCACAGAACUGCUUGAAAUCAUCUUUAAGCUGCUGUAACAUCAGACCACUAGUACAAGUGUAACUGUGAAUAAUAUCCAGUCUUUUUCAAUCAAUAUCCCACAUACAGUAAUGUGUACAUUUGUACUUUUAAAAAAGAUUAAUGGCAUACAUGAGAAGUGCAGCCUUCUGUAUUUCAAUACAGUAACUGUGAUGCAAACUGUUGUCAGUUUAGAGCGGGUAAUACUAACAGACUGCAGUGUUAUAUUGACAAUAUGACUAAGCAUUUUCCUGUCCUGUUUGUGAACAAUGACUCAAGGACAUCAGGCAUGCCAGAGGUUUUUCCCCCUGCUGCCUGGCCAAGGCCAGAAUCUCCUGUCAUGUUGAAGAGGUUCUUUGGCCUGCUCCAGACCAAAAACAGGAUACUGGGGGGCAGAAUAAUUAUUUUUGAUGUUGUUUGCUGUAUUGAAUUGUACUGUACUCUACAGUACGUUAAAUUAAGAUAUACAACAGUUGGGGAGUACCACACUUAUUACCGUUUUUUGUAGUAUUGUUUUAAAUUGAUCUCAUCAGUGUGUAAAACUGUGUUGAAGUGUGUGUGUUUGUGACUGUUUGUGUGUCAUAUCUGAGAGCAAAGUUUGGUUUUUCAGCAAGAUUGAGUUGUUUUGACUGGAUAGCUUCAUUAUGAUCUAAAUAUAGGACGUCUGGGGAAUUGAGUUAAAGGCCGUGUUGCAAGGUUCAUUUUUUACAGAAUAUGUGCAAUUUACUUGUUGGUAAUAAACAUUUUAACUGUUA